AUGAAGACCACCACUGAAGUAGAGUGGAUGUACCUGAGAAACGAUUGUCUCGUGAUCGAGUGUGAAGUCAGUGUUAUCAAGGAACCACUCGAGGCCCAUGUUCCGCCGUCCCAUCUUUUGGAUAAUCUUGCAAAAUUACUAGAUGGGAAGAAAGGAGCAGACGUGACUUUCAAGGUGCAGGGGGAGGUUUUUUCUGCUCAUAAGGUUUUGCUUGCGACGCAAUCAGCGGUCUUCGACGCCGAGUUCUACGGGCCGAUGGGGGACAAAGGGGCGCAGGACAUAACUAUUGAUGACAUGCAGCCUGCUGUUUUCAAGUCAUUUCUUCACUUCAUCUACACGGAUUCAAUGCCUUCCAUGGACGAUCUCGAGGAUGAUGACAAAAGAGAAAUGGUUAAGCACUUACUUGUGGCUGCAGAUAAGUAUGCCAUGGAAAGGAUGAAGCUGAUAUGUGAAGGCAUGCUAUGCAAGAGUCUUGAUGUUGAGAAUGUGGCAACCAUCUUAGCUCUAGCUGACCAGCACAAUUGCAGCAAUCUCAAAGAUGCUUGCAUCGAAUUUAUGUUCUCUUUGAAUAGAAUGAAUGAUGUGAUUGCAAGCCAAGGGUAUGUACAACUCAAAAGAUCUUCGCCUGAUAUCAUUGUGGAUGUGUUGGAGAGAGCAGCCAUGUCCCGCAAAAUUUAG
rnacentral:rRNA from 1 species